UCUCCGUUGGUGAACCAGCGGAGGGAUCAUUACUGAGUUAUCACAACUCCAACCCAUGUGAACUAUACCACUGUUGCCUCGGCGGGAGGACGCCUACCCGGUACUUACCCUGUAGGCCAGCCCCGCCGGCGGAUUUUCAGACUCUUGUUUCUUUGUAUCACUUCUGAGUAACAUUUUGAAAUAAGUCAAAACUUUCAACAACGGAUCUCUUGGUUCUGGCAUCGAUGAAGAACGCAGC
rnacentral:misc_RNA from 1 species